rnacentral:ncRNA from 2 species
AUGAUGGCUGUGGGAGAGACCCCCGGGGGGCGCCGAAGGAGCAAAACCAGUUUUCCAGCUGAGGGAAACGGUUAAACUCUCAGGCAAAAGGACUGCAGCCGGACG